rnacentral:rRNA from 1 species
AGUGAACGCUGGCGGUAGGCCUAACACAUGCAAGUCGAACGGCAGCACAGUAAGAGCUUGCUCUUACGGGUGGCGAGUGGCGGACGGGUGAGGUAUACAUCGGAAUCUACUUUUUCGUGGGGUAUAACGUAGGGACACUUACGCUAAUACCGCAUACGACCUACGGGUGAAAGCAGGGGAUCUUCGGACCUUGCGCGAUUGAAUGAGCCGAUGUCGGAUUAGCUAGUUGGCGGGGUAAAGGCCCACCAAGGCGACGAUCCGUAGCUGGUCUGAGAGGAUGAUCAGCCACACUGGAACUGAGACACGGUCCAGACUCCUACGGGAGGCAGCAGUGGGGAAUAUUGGACAAUGGGCGCAAGCCUGAUCCAGCCAUACCGCGUGGGUGAAGAAGGCCUUCGGGUUGUAAAGCCCUUUUGUUGGGAAAGAAAAGCAGCAGGUUAAUACCCCGCUGUUCUGACGGUACCCAAAGAAUAAGCACCGGCUAACUUCGUG